rnacentral:rRNA from 1 species
UACGUAGGGUGCGAGCGUUAAUCGGAAUUACUGGGCGUAAAGCGUGCGCAGGCGGUUUUUGUAAGACAGGCGUGAAAUCCCCGGGCUCAACCUGGGAACCGCGCUUGAGACUGGAGAACUAGAGUUCGGGAGAGGAUGGUGGAAUUCCCAGUGUAGAGGUGAAAUUCGUAGAUAUUGGGAAGAACACCGAUGGCGAAGGCAGCCAUCUGGACCGACACUGACGCUGAGGCGCGAAAGCGUGGGGAGCAAACAGG